rnacentral:misc_RNA from 1 species
AACAUCGCGCACCUGCGGGAACCUGCGGAAGGAUCAUUAAUGAAUAAACCUGGCAUGGUUGUUGCUGGCUCUUAGGAGCAUGUGCACACCUGUCAUCUUUAUCUUUCCACCUGUGCACACAAUGUAGAUCUGGAUAACUCUCGCUCUUCGGAGCGGAAACAUAGAUUGCUGUGUCGAAAGGCCGGCUUUCUGUGAAUUUCCAGAUCUAUGUCUUUACAAACCCCAAUUGAAUGUUGAAGA